rnacentral:lncRNA from 1 species
AUGAACUGCACUCUUGGAGGCUCCUUCUCCUUACUCUUGGUGCGUGGUUCUCUACCAAGUUUUGCUCCUUCUUUUGUCCUCAGUCUCAGAAGACUCCUGGGCAUCUGUGCCUGGGGCUCUGAGCUGCUCCCACAGGGGCCCUUCCCUGCCGGAGCCCCCACCCUGCCCCAAACCUGUGCCCUGCCUCUCUUUCCCCUGACAUUCCCCAAACACUUGUUCUUUUCGUGGCUCCUACAGAAAUUAAAUUGUGCUUCUCUGCUCUGGGAAACUGCCUCAUCCGUUCCAUGGUGCAUACCAGGAGAAGGUCUUCAUUUCCCUGAGCCCACAGUGCCAGUGGGGAGCACGUGCCAGCAGGGAGCACACGCCAUCGGGACGCCCCCGUGGGGACCAGCGAGCCCACAGUGCCAGUGGGGAGCACACACACGCCAUCAGGACGCCCUCGUGGGGACGGGUCACACGGGUGGUUCUGGGACUUUUUCUGUCUCCUGGUCGAGAGAGCACGGGCUGCAGCCCGUCCUGGGUGGCGACACGUCUCUGCCCUCCUUUCCCUGUAGAAGUGCCCCUCCUUCGGCCUCUGGAGGAGGUUCUGAGUGGGACAGGUGCCUCACUGGAGCAGGAGGUCGUCGCACUGGUUACCGGGGAUUUCCUCCUUCGUGGGCAGUUGUUUGGAGUUCUCCGUGGCUCUGGUUGCCUCAGGCUAGCUGUCCAUCCGUCUGUGAAAGCCUAAAGUGCCCACUCUCUGCACAGGAACCUCGGGGGCACAGUGACAGCCUGUUCCGUCUCCCCAUAGCCCUUCUUGCCUUUGGGCACAUUCGUGGUGCACCGUGCACCUCCCACACUCAAUGCUGGCACCUGCUGUUGUGUCCUAGAGCUGCAGGGACCAGGGAGAGCUUUCUCCAGGUGACUGGGAGCCAGGAGCGGCUGCCCAGGGAAGGAGAUGGGGGAGAGAGGAGUGGUCUAGAGAAGAUGCAUUUGCAUGUGGUAGGAGCUGGUGGUAAAACAACAGGGCCUUUUGAAGGGAGAAGAGCUCUUGGAACCUCCAGCAAGAGGGGAUACCGUUAUUUGCCUGAGAAAAAUCCUGUUCUCUAA